AGAAGUGUAAGCACCAAUAUAAACGAAACUCAACGCUCAGUUUAUGCCCUUUCGCCGCCUUAUUCUGAUUCCAGAAACAUCUUCAAUCAAUCUCCCCUCGUCUCCUCUCAAUCAAGUUUGAAGCUGAGAAAUAAUCAUGGCCGGUGGUGCGAAUUUCGUGCAGAGGGUUCUCUCUUACGUGGUGAAUGAAGUGGUUGUCAAUGGUCUUGCCAACAGGUACCCCUGCAUUUCAGAGGUUUGCAGUGAGGACAUCAAAAAGAAUUGGAGAUAUUUCUAACAAAGCUGUUCAGAAGAGGCAGGAGCUAGCUGAGCAGAUCAAGGACAUCUCAAAAAAUAUGGAGUCAUUCAAGAACCAG